CAUACAUCUAUAUUAACUUUGUAGUUAUCGGCACACACUAAUUGUAUUUACCGGCAAUGUUUAUAAAAACACUGGAGAUGACAGAAGGCUGCAGCGAUGCUAGCGCUCCACGUGGUAACAUGUCACAUUGCAGUGUACAGAAGACAAGCGGGUAGCGACGUGUUUGAGCAAAUCUACAGUGAGGUCCUAGAUUUGAUCAAAUUCUUGACGAUAUUUGACAAAGUUCCCUAGUACACCAUCAAAUUUCUUUGCAAAGUUAUCGGACAAAGAAAUUUGAUAGUGUAAUACCGGCCAAAGUUAAAACCCGACUGUUCUUUCAAAGAAAAAUCUCGACAGUUAACCAAUGAGAAUAGAUUUCAUUAACCAUUGGAAAUGUUCGGCCUGACUGGACUGGUACUUCUGCCGUUCUCCAAUUUAAAGAGUCGUAGAUUCAGUACUCCACUAUUCUUGUUUGUUCGGCAAGUGGGGAAACUUUGUGGCGUGCCUCUCCUGAUCACAAUAAUGCCUGGUUCUCUAUGACAUUUAAUAUGUGCUAAUGUUGUGUGGAAUUCAUUAAAUCCGUGAAUAUGAGGUAGAUGUCCUGUGAAAAUUAGCUUCUGCGACGAGGGAAACCUGUAAACAACGAAAUGUAAAUUUAUAUCCCCAACAGAAACAAGGGGUCACUGGAAGCAUCCGAUUUUCAUCCGUCUACCUUGGCCCGUGACGUAAGGGUGUAAUUGUAUCUUUUGUAGAACAUCCUGAAACUUCUUAAGUGUGUGGACGACUGUCUUUUGUAGAUUAUAUUCUCAUUCACAUAUUCUGAGAUUUAACGUAAGGGAAUUUUAUAAUACCUGGCGCACAGUUCCAGCUUUUGUCAGACAAAACUAACAGUAUCUGUGGAGGUGUGCAGGUAUUAUCACAUCUACGAUGUACAUGCUUUAAAAAUGCCAAUAGCUUAAAAGUUUGUGACAUCAGAUAGCAGACUAAGAUGUAACAGUUAUCACAUGUUGGUGGAAGAAUAAGUUGAUACGUUGGCAAUAAAUGCAGUCCUUUUUAUUU